GAUGAACGCUGGCGGCGUGCCUAAUACAUGCAAGUCGAGCGAACGGACGAGAAGCUUGCUUUUCUGAUGUUAGCGGCGGACGGGUGAGUAACACGUGGAUAACCUACCUAUAAGACUGGGAUAACUUCGGGAAACCGGAGCUAAUACCGGAUAAUAUUUUGAACCGCAUGGUUCAAAAGUGAAAGACGGUCUUGCUGUCACUUAUAGAUGGAUCCGCGCUGCAUUAGCUAGUUGGUAAGGUAACGGCUUACCAAGGCAACGAUGCAUAGCCGACCUGAGAGGGGGAUCGGCCACACGGGAGCUGAGACACGGUCAAGACUCCUACGGGAGGCAGCAGUAGGGAAUCUUCCGCAAUGGGCGAAAGCCUGACGGAGCAACGCCGCGUGAGUUAUGAAGGUCUUCGGAUCGUAAAACUCUGUUAUUAGGGAAGAACAUAUUUGUAAGUAACUGUGCACAUCUUGACGGUACCUAAUCAGAAAGCCACGGCUAACUACGUG
rnacentral:rRNA from 1 species